rnacentral:rRNA from 1 species
AUUGAACGCUAGCGGGAUGCUUUACACAUGCAAGUCGAACGAGUGGCGGACGGGUGAGUACUAUAUCGGCACGUGCCCAGUAGCGGGGGAUAACUACUCGUAAGAGUGGCUACUAACGCAUUCUAUUGGCGCGGCCGGUACCGGAAUAGCUAGUUGGCGGGGUAAAGGCUCACCAAGGCGACGAUCCGUAGCUGGUUUGAGAGGACGACCAGCCACACUGGGACUGAGACACGGCCCAGACUCCUACGGGAGGCAGCAGUGGGGAAUUUUGGACAAUGGGGGAAACCCUGAUCCAGCCAUCCCGCGUGUGUGAGAAGGCCUUCGGGUUGUAAAGUACUUUUGGCAGGGAAGCGGUAUCUGCAGAAUAAGCACCGGCUAACUACGUGCCAGCAGCCGCGGUAAUAC